rnacentral:lncRNA from 1 species
CGAAUAAUAGGUUAAAAAAUCAUAAAGAUAGAGAAUCGUGUGCUAUAAUAUAAGGAAAAGAUAAUAAAGAGUAAAGAAAUAUAAGAUGAGGCAAAAAUCGUGUGCUAAAAUAUAGAGAAUAUAGAGAAUAAUAUAGUGCUUAAUUAUAAAGAAUAGAGAAUAUUAGGUUUAAUCUAGAUCAGAGAGAAUAAGAGAGAAAAAGAUAUAAAGAAUAGAGAACAAAAGAUAGUAUGAAAUAUAAAGAAUAGGGAAUAAAAGAUAGGGAACAAAAGAUAGGAUGAAAUAUAAAGAAUAGGGAAUAAUAGAUAGGAUGAAAUAUAAAGAAUAGGGAACAAUAGAUAGGAUGAAAUAUAAAGAAUAGAGAACAAAAGAUAGGAUGAAAUAUAAAGAAUAGAGAACAAAAGAGAAAAUAAAAAAGGAACAAAAG